UGGGGAAUCUUGCGCAAUGGGCGAAAGCCUGACGCAGCCAUGCCGCGUGAGUGAUGAAGGCCUUAGGGUUGUAAAACUCUUUCACCGGGGACGAUAAUGACGGUACCCGGAGAAGAAGCCCCGGCUAACUUCGUGCCAGCAGCCGCGGUAAUACGAAGGGGGCUAGCGUUGCUCGGAAUUACUGGGCGUAAAGGGCGCGUAGGCGGAUCAGCAAGUUGGGGGUGAAAGCCCGGGGCUCAAGCCUCGGAAUUGCCUUCAAAACUGCUGAUCUAGAGUACGGGAGAGGUGUGUGGAACUCCGAGUGUAGAGGUGAAAUUCGUAGAUAUUCGGAAGAACACCAGUGGCGAAGGCGACACACUGGCCCGUUACUGACGCUGAGGCGCGAAAGCGUGGGGAGCAAACAGGAUUAGAUACCCUGGUAGUCCACGCUGUAAACGAUGAUUGCUAGUUGUCGGCAGGCAUGCCUGUCGGUGGCGCAGCUAACGCAUU
rnacentral:rRNA from 1 species